rnacentral:rRNA from 1 species
CAGUCGCCACGGUAAUAUGUAGGUGGCAAGUGUUGUCCGGAAUUAUUGGGCGUAAAGGGCUCGCAGGCGGUUUCUUAAGUCUGAUGUGAAAGCCCCCGGCUCAACCGGGGAAGGUCAUUGGAAACUGGGAAACUUGAGUGCAGAAGAGGAGAGUGGAAUUCCACGUGUAGCGGUGAAAUGCGUAGAGAUGUGGAGGAACACCAGUGGCGAAGGCGACUCUCUGGUCUGUAACUGACGCUGAGGAGCGAAAGCGUGGGGAGCGAACAGGAUUAGAUACCCCCGUAGUCCCUGUCUCUUAUAC